UACAUGGGGUGCAAACGUUGCUCGGAAUUAUUGGGCGUAAAGCGCACGUAGGCGGUCCGUUAAGUCGGAUGUGAAAAGCCCCCGGCUCAACCGGGGGAAGUGCAUCCCGAAAACUGGCAGGCUAGAGUACGAAAAGAGGGGUCGCGGAAUUCCCCGGUGUAGAGGUGAAAUUCGUAGAUAAUCGGGAGGAACACCGGUGGCGAAGGCGGCGACCUGGUCGAUACUGACGCUGAGGUGCGAAAGCGUGGGAGCAACAGGAUAGAUACC
rnacentral:rRNA from 1 species